rnacentral:rRNA from 7 species
GGUGUGAAUUGCAGAAUCCCGCGAACCAUCGAGUCUUUGAACGCAAGUUGCGCCCGAGGCCUCUUGGCCGAGGGCACGCCUGCCUGGGCGUCACG